rnacentral:rRNA from 1 species
AUGGUUUCCCAUCUUCUUUUUGCGGAUGAUAGCAUUGUGUUUAUUGAAGGAUCUGAGAGUAAUCUUCUUACUCUCAAAGCGAUCUUAGGGGACUAUGAGAUGGCAUCGGGACAGAAAGUUAAUAUGCAAAAGUCGUCUAUAUUUUUUGGAAAGAGGAGCACGGAGGAGAGCAAAGAACAGCUGAAGGCGGUCAUCGGAAUCAAUUCAGAAGCGCUGAGUGAGAAAUAUUUGGGUCUGCCUACCGCUGUGGGGAAGUCCAAGGAAGGUACUUUUAAAUACGCCCGGGAGAGUGCUAAGGGAAAGGUCAUGGGAUGGAAGGGGCAAGGAUUAUCUAAGAAGGCUCGGGAGGUGUUGGUUGAAUCGGGGCUCCAGUCUACCCCAACUUUCACCAUGAGUUGCUUCCAGCUCACCAAGAAAUUGUGCGGGAACCUGACAUCUAUCUCUUCCAACUUUUGA